GCAUGCUUACUUCGGCGGUGCGUAUUCAAAAAUACGAAUGAUACAGGGAAGGUUAGCAUGGCCCGUGCACAAGGAUGACAUGAAACUUCAUGAACCAGUCCAUAGUUUU
ensembl:snRNA Gm26066 U6 spliceosomal RNA